CGUGAUGCGGCCGGCUGCGGCCCGCCCCCCGCGGAACCGAGCAAAGGAUUAUGGCACAGGCUCAGGGUUUGGGAAGGAGAUACAUUAAAGCCUUUUUUAAAGGUUUCUUUGUUGCCGUUCCUGUAACUGUGACUUUUCUGGAUAGAGUUGCCUGUGUUGCAAGGGUGGAAGGAGCAUCAAUGCAGCCUUCUUUGAAUCCUGGGGGAAGACAAGCAUCUGAUGUAGUACUCUUGAACCACUGGAGUAUUAGGAAUUACGAUGUACAACGUGGGGACAUUGUGUCACUGGUAUUAUGCCCUUGUAGAUUCACUUUGAAGAUUGCUAGAGUAAACUCUUCCUUUAGAGCUAAGAAGUUGACCUGUACUCCUACUUUGCUCUAGUUAUCCAGUGAACACCAGACAGCUGUGAUCCAGUCAAUCAGAUAGAGGCAUAAUCCCUACUGGACAAAUUCUGCACAAAGAGAAAAUUUAAUAUAAACUGAAAAUCAUGCUCCAUGCUGCUUAGUUUCCAGCUGUGUGUCUUGGACUUCUUGAAGCAUGCAAGGAUUAAAUAUACUGCUUGAAUAGUAAAAGUGCAUAGAGAGGACCCUGAAUAAAAUCGCGUGCUAUCCUUCUCAUCAAUAGUGAAAGACAUUUCAUCUUCUUUGGAAUUCAUGCUUCAGUCAUAUCUACUAGUUCCUGGUGUCUCUCGCAGUAUUAGUGAACAAAAUGCCAUAAAUACCAAAGGCUCUUCUUUCCUUCAACUAACUAUAUAUAUGUUAAAAAUACAACUUAAAAAAUGAAGAAGUCUGAAGUUUGAAUAAGAAUAAUGAAUGCUUGUGAAAACCUUGGAGUACCUUCUUCCUGGAGCUUAAGAUAAAACCAAAGUCCUUCAGAGCUGCAUCUAUAAGCAAAAGCACUCUGAGGUGGGUUUAUCCUCUCAUGGAUGCAUGGCCAACAUUUGUUAGGUUAAGAUUUUCAUUUGGCCUGUUAUGAAGAGGAGCAAGAUAAAAUUUAACUGUUCAGUCAGCAACCAUUUGAAUUGAGAUGAAGUCUGAGAAGAUUAUUGAGGCCUAUGAAAGCUCCUGGUGCAAUCACAGAAAGCAG